AUCACUGGAUGCCUUACAUUGGUUUUAUGUUUAAUCUCACAUAAAAUGUUAUACUGAUAUGUUUCAGCACCUGAGGAGAAAACAGAAGAAACCGAAGGGAAACCAGGAUCCGGUGAUACUGCAGAUUCUGCUGCUACGGAGAAUAAAGAAGCUGGGAAGAAACUAGAAGAAACCAAAAAGGAUCCAGGAUCCAGUGAGCCUGCAGGUUACACUGAUGAAGAGAAAAACGAAGCUGAGGAGAAAACAGUAAAAACCAAAGUGGAGCUAGGAUCCAGUCAG